GUGGCAGUGCUUAGUUGAAUGGUGGGAAUAAUAAAUCGAGCAGGCAGCGGAGAACUCGCAUAGCUUCUCUGUCAGUUGGGGAGCGAACAGCUGAUAUUAUCACACUGCGAUGCUCUCAUUGUAAACAAAAGCGUAGUCGUUCAGCUAAUAGCUGUAAUCGUGUGCAGUGCUUUUCGUUGCGAAGAUAUUGACAAAGUGCCAUGGUGUUCAUUCGUAGUGUUGCUCAGAAGUGAAUCGAUUACAACUAGAUUUUGAAAUAGUGAAUCAGUCUACAAUGGAGGGUAUCAACUCGAAUAAAACUAAACACGACAUGGAGCUCUACAAUAACAAUGACUACGAUCAGUUCAGCUUCCCCAAACGACCCACAGUGGAUAUUAAUUUUCAGGACAUCACGUAUACCGUGAAUACAAUGACAGCAAAAAAGGAGAUUCUGCACGGUGUGAGCGGAGAAUUCAGGUCUGGAGAGUUGACCGCCAUCAUGGGGCCUUCGGGUGCGGGAAAGAGCACCCUACUCAACAUUCUGGCUGGAUUUACGUUGAAAGGCUGCCAAGGAAGUAUAUGCAUCAAUGGUAUUAACAGGAAAAGUCGAAUUGAACAAUUCCUGAAGAUGUCCUGCUACAUUACACAAGAUGACGAACUGAGGCCUCUAUUGACUGUCAGAGAAGCUAUGAUGCUAGCAGCGCAUUUGAAACUCGGUUUCACUCGAUCCAACCCUGACAAGUCCAACUUGGUAUCAUAUAUAUUGGGUCUUUUGGGACUAAAAAAACAUGAGAAUACUAGGACAUCUCGAUUAUCUGGCGGACAACGUAAAAGGUUAUCAAUUGCUCUCGAGCUGCUCACCAACCCUCCAAUCCUGUUCCUUGAUGAGCCAACAACGGGACUAGACAGUGUGUCAACCACAUCGUGUGUUUCACUGCUGAAGAAUCUAGCGGCUGAGGGACACACGAUCGUCUGCACAAUCCACCAGCCGACUGCCUCGAUAUUCGAGAUGUUCGACCACCUGUAUGCAAUUGCAGACGGCGACUGCAUCUAUCAAGGCUCCUGCAGCAAUCUGCUGCCGUUCCUGUCCUCAUUAAGUCUGCAUUGUCCCAAAUACCACAAUCCUGCAGACUUUUUAAUCGAAGUGGCAAUUGGUGAAUACGACACAAAUGUGAAGACGAUAGCUGCAGCGGCAGCAAAGCAUGGUCGCCAAGAGUCCACACCUUAUUCCGAAGAAAUAAUCAAAGAUGAAAAUGGUCUGCCAGUGAGAGUAUUGCAAACCAAAAAGUCGCCAGCUUUUGACAUAAUUGAGUACACUUCAUGUUUAGCAGAGCCGGCUCCGUUAUGGUAUCAAGUAUUUCAUCUCCUUCAUAGAAACAUAAUUAUCACACGUAGGUCAAAGUUGCCGCUUGCCUUACGAAUUUUUAUGCACUUUGUGAUCUCAGUAAUGUUUGGAAUCAUUUACAAUAAUGUUGGCAACAACGCAAACUCUGUAUUUGGAAAUUACAUUUACGUUUAUGGAACGAACUUGUUUUUGCAUUAUACCGGACAAAUGGCUGUUACAUUGUCGUUUCCAUUGGAGUUCAAAGUGCUGAGGAGAGAGCAUUUCAAUAGAUGGUAUUCUCUGAUUCCUUACUGCAUAGCCACGCUACUAAUCGAGAUACCGUUUCAGAUUGUUUGUGUUGUCGUUUACCUGGUGCCUAGCUACCUGUUGACUGGACAGCCCCUGGAGUGGGUCAGGUUCUUGAUGUUUCUAAUGUUCACGGUUGCAGUUUGUCUGACUGCGCAAGCGUGUGGAUUUUUGGUUGGAGCCACAACACCAGUAACGUUGGCUGUCUUCAUUGGACCAGUGAUCACUGUAUUCCUAUCAGUGUUCGGAUUCGCAAUGAAGUACAGCGACAUUCCGUCCUACCUGCGGGUCUUCUAUCACAUAUCAUACUUCCGAUCGUCCUUCCAAGGAUCACUGAUGAGCUUGUACGGUAACAACCGGUCCUACCUGCCGUGUCUGAAGAACGGGUUUCACGGCCGUAACGGCUACUGCCACUACACGCAUCCGACAAAGUUUCUCAGGGAAAUGGAGUUCGAAGAACCAAACCCUGUGUUCGAUGUCAGUUACAUUGUUUCAGUUUGUUUACUGGUGUACACAUGUACAGCGACUGCUAUCUGGUAUAGAUUGAACAAAAGGUGAUAGAUUUCUAGCUCUUUGGUAAAUACAUGUUCAGCGACUGCCUCUGGUAUAGAGUGAACUAAACGUGAUAGGAUGUCUAGCUCUUUCAAAAGGUGAUAGAUUUCCAACUCUUUGGUGAAUAUUAGACCCUACAUGUUCAGCGACUGCUAUUUGGUAUAGAUUGAACAAAAAGUGAUAGAUUUCUAGCUCUUUGGUAAAUACAUGUUCAGCGACUGCCUCUGGUAUAGAGUGAACUAGACGUGAUAAGAUUUCUAGCUUUUUCAAAAGCUGAUAGAUUUCCAACUCUUUGGUGAAUAUUAGACCCUACAUGUUCAGCGACUGCAAUUUGUUGGUAUAGAUUGAACAAAAAGUGAUAGAUUUCUAGCUCUUUGGUGUCAGCGACUCCUAUUUUGGUAUAGAGUGAACUAAACGUGAUAGGAUGUCUAGCUCUUUCAAAAGCUGAUAGAUUUCCAACUCUUUGGUGAAUGUUACAUGUUCAGCAACUGCUAUAUUUGGUAUAGAGUAAACAAAAGGUGAAAAGAUUUUAGAGAUCUAGCUCUUUAGAUUAAAGAUCUAGCUCUUUUCUAGCAUCUUUAAGGUCUUUGUCUAGCUCUUUCAAAAGGUGAUAGAUUUCCAACUCAUUGGUGAAUAUUUCAUGUUCAGCGACUGCUAUUUGGUAUAGAGUAAACAAAAGGUGAAAUGAUUUCUAGCUCUUUUAAUAAGAGAUAGAUUUCCAACUAUUUAGUGAAUAUUACAUGUUCAGCGACUACUAUUUGGUAUAGAGUAAACAAAAGGUGAAAAGAUUUCUAGCUCUUUAAGACUGUGCAAAGGCUAAAAAAAACUUUCCACUGGUGAUAUUUUUCAAAGUUUUCCAAUUUGUACAAUUUUGCUUCGUGAUGUUAUGAACAGCUUCGCAAAUCACCUGCGCGAAUGCCGUACUCGGGAAGGCCGCCAUCUUGCUGAUGUUAUUUUCAAUGUUUCUUAAAUGCUUUUUAAUGUAGAAAAAUAUUUUAUGAAUAUAAUUUUGAUAUCUACGUCCGUUUAUUUUUUACACCUAUUUCAAAAAUGCGGGAUUGACUGCCGCACCCUGAUCAUCAAGCUAUCAAAAUGAAGAAGUUUUCUUAGGAAAACAUUUUUUUUCGAUUAUUACUUGUUGAGAUAUGAGUGCCUUAAGUUUAAAUUUUUUGGGACCGAAUAACAUUUUAAAUUCUGUAAGAGAUAAAUCCAUGAGAUUUAGAGUAUAAAUCCCUCAUGGUACUGUUGAUUGAGUAAUUUUUUUUCGAAAAUGUCAAUUUUUGAGA